rnacentral:rRNA from 1 species
GACGAACGCUGGCGGCGUGCCUAAUACAUGCAAGUCGAACGCAGUGGGGACGGGUGAUUAACACCUGGGUAACCUCCCAUCAGAGGGGAUAACACUUGGAAACAGGUGCUAAACCGAUACUGAUGGAUGGACCCGGGGUGCAUUGGCCGGUUGGUGGGGUCACGGCUCACCAAGGCCACGAUGCAUAGCCGACCUGAGAGGGUGAUCGGCCACACUGGGACUGAGACACGGCCCAGACUCCUACGGGAGGCAGCAGUGGGGAAUCUUCGGCAAUGGACGAAAGUCUGACGGAGCAACGCCGCGUGAGUGAAGAAGGUUUUCGGAUCGUAAAGCUCUGUUGUUGGAGAAGCGGUAUCUAACCAGAAAGCCACGGCUAACUACGUGCCAGCCGCCGCGGUAAUAC